AGCUCAAAGUUGGAAUCCGGCUGCCCUAGGUAGUUGGAGUUGUAAACUGGAGAAGUGUUUUCCAGGCGAGCCAAGCGAAUAAGUCCUUUGGAACGGGGCAUCAUAGAGGGUGAGAAUCCCGUCUUUGGCUUGAGCUAUUCGUCUAUUGCGAUACACUUUCAAAGAGUCAGGUUGUUUGGGAAUGCAGCCUAAAUUGGGUGGUAAAUCUCACCUAAAGCUAAAUAUUGGCGAGAGACCGAUAGCGAACAAGUACCGUGAGGGAAAGAUGAAAAGAACUUUGAAAAGAGAGUUAAACAGUAUGUGAAAUUGUUGAAAGGGAACCGUUUGGAGCCAGACCGGCCGUUCUAUAAUCAAUCUCUGCCUCGGUGGGGAUGCACUUGUAGGGCGUUGGCCUGCCAACAGCAAUUUUGCCUGAUGGAAAAAACUAAAAGGAAUGUGGCCCCUCGGGGUGUUAUAGCCUUUUGGAAAAUACAUCGGGCGGGAUUGAGGACUGCAGUAAAUGC
rnacentral:rRNA from 1 species